rnacentral:rRNA from 1 species
UACGGGGGGGGCAAGCGUUGUUCGGAAUUACUGGGCGUAAAGGGCCAGUAGGCGGCCAACUAAGUCCGACGUGAAAUCCCAAGGCUUAACCUCGGAACUGCAUUCGAUACUGCGGCGCUUGAGGACUGGAGAGGAGACUGGAAUUCAUGGUGUAGCAGUGAAAUGCGUAGAGAUCAUGAGGAAGACCAGUGGCGAAGGCGGGUCUCUGGGCCGUAACUGACGCUGAGGAGCGAAAGCAUGGGGAGCGAACAGG